rnacentral:piRNA from 1 species
CCCCAUCAAGCUGGAGGGAGCAC